rnacentral:rRNA from 1 species
UACAGAGGGCCCGAGCGUUGUUCGGAUUCAUUGGGCGUAAAGGGCGCGUAGGCGGCUUUGCAAGUGACGGGUGAAAUCCCUCGGCUUAACCGAGGAACUGCCUGUCAAACUGCAUGGCUUGAGACCGGGAGAGGUGAGUGGAAUUCCCAGUGUAGCGGUGAAAUGCGUAGAUAUUGGGAGGAACACCAGUGGCGAAGGCGGCUCACUGGACCGGUACUGACGCUGAUGCGCGAAAGCGUGGGGAGCAAACAGG